CUCUCAUUCUCUCAUACUGGGAUUAGGGUUUUUUUGUUUCCAUUGUUCCUCUUCAUCACAUAAUCCCUCAUUCGCAUUCUGUUUGGAGAAAACCUAGCCGCAGACCAUGGAUUCUCAUCUUCAUCUUUAAGUAAACUGAAAGAAAGGGGAACUCGCCAAAUUUGAAGCCAUCGACUGUGGAAAACCACUCGAUGAAGCAACAUAGUUUUGGAGCGUUUUGGGCUUUUGUCAAACGUGUCAAGGCCGGUUAAGCCAGUCAGCACGUUAAUUGAGGAGUUGCUUGUGCUGAAAAUAUACAAAAUGGAGAUUGCUGAAG